rnacentral:rRNA from 1 species
UACGAAGGGGGCUAGCGUUGUUCGGCCUUCCUUUUCUUCCCUCUCACUUAUUCUUCUUUUUAAUUUAUAUUUGAAAGCCCGGAGCUCAACUCCGGAACUGCCUUUAAGACUGCAUCGCUUGAACGUCGGAGAGGUAAGUGGAAUUCCGAGUGUAGAGGUGAAAUUCGUAGAGACCGGGAAGAACACCAGUGGCGAAGGCGGCUACCUGGACAGGUACUGACGCUGAAGCGCGAAAGCUAGGGGAGCAAACAGG